ensembl:lncRNA LINC00320 long intergenic non-protein coding RNA 320
AUAUAAGCACUGUUGUUAUUUUGAUGUUUUUCUAAUAUUAAUAUGCAUAUAUCAUAGGAAGUAUUUAAAUGAAUUUUAAUUUCCCUUUUCAAUCAUCUCCCAUUGAAAGCUGAAUCAUGAGGAUACCAUCUCCAAGCAGGUGGAGUAUUUGAUCCCUUUAGCAAGGCAGUGAUUUUGAAAUUCGGGUUUAGACAAAAAGAUAUUUCAAGCUCCUGAAGAACAAGUUUGAAGGAUUCAGAGCAGAGAAUUGCACCCUGGCAUGAUGCCUAUGCCAGCUGGACUGUGUGAUUUUUGUUCUUUAGUAGAAGGAUAACAUGACAUAGCAGGAAUAAUACUGCCUUUUCUUUCUGGCAUGGAUCAAGAGAAAAGAAAAUACAAGAAAACAGACAGAAGGCUUCUGACAGCUUUGGAGAUUGUGACAUUGGAAUAAAGGAAAAACGUACAGGACUCAUGAAGCGCUGAAAUGUUCACAAAUAUCAAGCAAAAGUCAAUGAAAUUUAUUUUGAGCUAUUUACAUCAUUUAAUAAUUGAGCAAGGUAUACUCCUAUGAACAAAAUUUGGAGCAUGUUUGUCUCUCUCUGCCUGGCGUCUUCAGAAUUUGGAAACUAGUUAAAAUUGUUGUCUUAUUUUCAUCCUCUUUAAAAGAUGGUUUAUAAUCAGCUAUAGAAUUUUAACACGUGCUCUCAAAUGCAAGUUUCUGAUAACUUUGGAGAUUGUGACAUUGGAAUAAAGGAAGAGCUGGAAUGUUCAUGAAUAUCAAGCAAAAGUCAUGGAAAUUUAUUUUGAGCUAUUUACAGCAUUUAAUAAUUGAGCAAGGUAUACUCCUAUGAACAAAAUUUGGAGCAUGUUUGUCUCUCUCUGUCUGCCUGGCAUCUACAGAAUUUGGAAACUAGUUUCGUUCCCAGAUUUCCUAAACUUUCCAGAGAAAAUGGUCUUCUCCCUGGCUCAGCAAGAAGAUGAACUUUAAACACUGAGAAACUGGUCAUCUCCCUGGCUCAACCAGAAGAUGAACUUUAAACACUACUCUCAAUGACUUGAUGUUCCCAUCACUACUCCUGUCAUAAAGGGAGGGGACUCAGAUAUUGAGAAUUUUAUGAUAGUGUGAACUGUCUGGUAUGUCAUUUAAGUAAGCCCGUUGCUGAAAUAUUUUCCAUGUUAUUAGAAAGAGCUGAAGAGAGGGAUUGAGAUGGCUUCUUUAUUUUUUGUCUUUUGGGAAUUAAAGGAACCUGGUUCAACAAGGGCCUACACCUAAGUCUCUUGUUGUACCAGAGUACAAUUUAGGACUGCUCCUGAGGAAGGAAUUAGCUAGAAAUCUAGAGAGUAAGGGUAACAGAUUUACAUAGAAUAACAGCCUCAGUAUUUUUGGUUCCUCUCCAGUAAAGAUCACAAAGAAUAUUGCUAAAUCGCUAAAACACCUUUGCAAUAACGUAAGGGCUUACAACUAUAUACCAAUGUAGCUCAGUUACUAAACUGGAGUAAACUAAUUUCUCUUGUGUAGAAAAAUUGGUUGGCUGUGGUUUUAUAGCAGAUCUGCAAUUAUUAAUAGUUAUGCCAAUAAUCGUUUAACAGUGCAUAUGUUAAUAUAUAUGGAAAGACAAUGUGUAUAGACAGAUGUGUAAAAUUGAAAAAUAAACAUAUAACAAGAGAGAAACAUCUAUCGAACAGACAAUAUACAUACACAUCAAACACAACAGCAGUUUUAGUGACCAUAAUAUUUAUUUCUCAUUUUUACAUUGCUUACUUUAGUGACAACUGAAAAUGACAGUUGGCAAUGCAGCUAACAGUUUCAAUAAAAGUAUAAAACAAAAGACUGUGUACAAAGCACCUGUCUUUCCGCUUUUGUAAUCUUCCGUUGGAAAAAAUUUACACACCUAAGUAACCAUCUGUUUUCUUCAAGAAAAAAUCAUUCUUAUUUCUCUCUCUCAUCUUGAAAACAGCUGUCAGCCAGGAGGGCAGAGCUGAAAUUUAUUGCCACAUCACAUGAAGCAUAGAACAGACUCCACUACUCCUUGAGAUUCAAAACUUUGCCUCUCACAAAGUUACCUUUUAUUUUCCUCUUGUUUGUCACUCAUCUCCCCUAGUGUGCUCUUUUUAUUUCUUUUACUAUUAAUAAUAAAA